UACGUAGGUGGCAAGCGUUGUUCGGAAUUAUUGGGCGUAAAGGGCGCGUAGGCGGUUUGUUAAGUCGGCUGUGAAAGCCCGGGGCUCAACCCCGGAGGGUCAGCCGAUACUGGCAGACUAGAGUACGGAAGAGGUAGCUGGAAUUCCCGGUGUAGCGGUGAAAUGCGUAGAUAUCGGGGAGGAACACCAGUGGCGAAGGCGACUACCUGGCCUGUUCUUGACGCUGAGGCGCGAAAGCUAGGGGAGCAAACGGG
rnacentral:rRNA from 1 species